GUGGACUGGAUGCUGUGGGAGUGUCUAUCACUUCUAUAACUCCUCCCCCAUGUCUGGCUGGACCGGGUUUAUAUAUCAGCAGCUUCAAUCAGCUCCUCUCCCGUCUGUGGACUGGAUGCUGUGGGAGUGUCUAUCACUUCUAUAACUCCUCUCCCAUGUCUGGCUGGACCGGGUUUAUAUAUCAGCAGCUUCAAUCAGCUCCUCUCCCGUCUGUGGACUGGAUGCUGUGGGAGUGUCUAUCACUUCUAUAACUCCUCUCCCAUGUCUGGCUGGACCGGGUUUAUAUAUCAGCAGCUUCAAUCAGCUCCUCUCCCGUCUGUGGACUGGAUGCUGUGGGAGUGUCUAUCACUUCUAUAACUCCUCUCCCAUGUCUGGCUGGACCGGGUUUAUAUAUCAGCAGCUUCAAUCAGCUACGUGAAUCCCUUUCUAAUGUGUAUUUAACAAUGGUGGAAUCUCCCUUCAGCCAACAACUUUAUCAACUUUCAAAGCAGAAUUACUUCCCCACUUGGAAGUCAGUGUUCUUCAGGUGGUAAAGUCACCGCUCUAGAAAGAUGCCUGAGUUUCCCCACUUGGAAGUCAGUGUUCUUCAGGUGGUAAAGUCACCGCUCUAGAAAGAUGCCUGAGUUUCCCCACUUGGAAGUCAGUGUUCUUCAGGUGGUAAAGUCACCGCUCUAGAAAGAUGCCUGAGUUUCCCCACUUGGAAGUCAGUGUUCUUCAGGUGGUAAAGUCACCGCUCUAGAAAGAUGCCUGAGUUUCCCCACUUGGAAGUCAGUGUUCUUCAGGUGGUAAAGUCACCGCUCUAGAAAGAUGCCUGAGUUUCCCCACUUGGAAGUCAGUGUUCUUCAGGUGGUAAAGUCACCGCUCUAGAAAGAUGCCUGAGUUUCCCCACUUGGAAGUCAGUGUUCUUCAGGUGGUAAAGUCACCGCUCUAGAAAGAUGCCUGAGUUUCCCCACUUGGAAGUCAGUGUUCUUCAGGUGGUAAAGUCACCGCUCUAGAAAGAUGCCUGAGUUUCCCCACUUGGAAUUCCGAGUUUGAUGACCGUUCAAAAAUAUUUUUUCCCAGUUGGAGCUCGUUUUAUUUUUGAGUUCCUCAUUUGUUUUGAACGCGGCACUAGCCUAAGAAAGUGACACGUAAGUUUCCAUGAAGUGGCCAACAAAUUUUGUUGACUUUUUGAAUGGUCUCCAACGGG